rnacentral:lncRNA from 1 species
AAGCCUUUAAACAGGGGAUUAAAGUUAAAAUGAGGUUGUUGGAGUGAGCUCUAAUCCAACCUGACUGGUGUCCUCAUAAGAAGAGAAAACUGGACACACAGAGAGACACCAGGGAUGUGCAUGCGCAGAGAAAAGACAAUGCACAGAGAUGGAGAGAAGGCGGCCAUCUGCAAGCUGAAGGGAGAGCCCUCCAGAGAAACUCAACCUGCCAACACCUUGAUCUUGAACUUCCAGCCUCCAGAACUGUGAUAACAUAUAUUUCUGUCGCUUAAGCCACCGUCUGUUUUCUUGUGUUAUGGCAGCCCUAACAAACUAAUACAAACAAAAUACUGGAAAAUUAAAUUUCUACCUGUGGUAGAUUAAAUAUCACCACAAGUUAUUUGCAAUUUCUCCCAUAAAAAGGAGCCCAUGUCCCCACCUCUUGAGGCUGGGCUGGCCUUAGUACUUGGUCUGUCCCCUUGUAAUGAAGUAGGAGUGACACUGUGACCCUUGGAGCUCAGCCCUCCAGGGGACUUGCAGUUUCUGUCACUGGAACCCAGACACUACAUGAGAAAACCAGACCAGUCUCCUCGAGGAUGAGAGACUGUGAGGAUGAUGUGCAGAGACACAGUCAUCCCAGCUCUUCCAGCCAGACCUUCUGAAGCCAAACAUGUAAGUGAAGUGAGACCAUCCUGGAACAGCCAGCCCCCAGCAGACCCACCAGCUAAAAGCAGCCUCAGCAGGCAAGGCCAGCAGGAGAACCGCCAGCGAACCCAUCAAACCAUAAGAAAUAAGAAACUGUUACUGCUUUAAACCACUAAGUUUUGCUGGUUUGCUAUAUAACAAUAGAAACGGAAAAAUUCGUAACACAAACGGAGCUGCAGAAUUUUGUUUGUUUCUCGCUUUGUGGAUGUGAAAUGUAAUUAACAUGUUGCUGAAGACUGGUUCACUGAGCACUGUUUGCAAAAUGGAGCCCCAGUGACACCUCAUCACCACAGCUGGUGAUGCUCCCUCAGUGGUGGCCAUGUACUGCUGGCUGGGCAUAGAAAAUUAGCUGGCUGUGAACAGUUUAUGUGCUCCCCAGGCCUCCAACACUUUCUUCUCUACCCCAUGAGGAUGUCAGAAUACAAGUGAAUGAGAAUGGCUUCAUCAUCAUAGAAAAUUGUGACCAUCUCUUAAUACAUUUUGAAGUCUAAAACUAAUAAAAAUCCCAAAUUC